rnacentral:rRNA from 1 species
AUUGAACGCUGGCGGCAUGCUUUACACAUGCAAGUCGAACGGUAACAGGCCUUCGGGUGCUGACGAGUGGCGAACGGGUGAGUAAUGCAUCGGAACGUACCCAGAGGUGGGGGAUAACGCAGCGAAAGCUGUGCUAAUACCGCAUGUGAUCUGAGGAUGAAAGCGGGGGACCGAGCAGCAAUGUUUGGCCUCGCGCCUUUGGGGCGGCCGAUGUCGGAUUAGCUAGUUGGUGGGGUAAAGGCCUACCAAGGCGACGAUCCGUAGCUGGUCUGAGAGGACGACCAGCCACACUGGGACUGAGACACGGCCCAGACUCCUACGGGAGGCAGCAGUGGGGAAUUUUGGACAAUGGGCGCAAGCCUGAUCCAGCAAUGCCGCGUGCGGGAAGAAGGCCUUCGGGUUGUAAACCGCUUUUGGCAGGAACGAAACGGUGUCCGCUAAUACCGGGCGCUAAUGACGGUACCUGCAGAAUAAGCACCGGCUAACUACGUG